GGGGAUGUAGCUCAGGGGUAGAGCGCUUGCUUAGCAUCAUCUUAUGUGAUGUGCAUGAGGUCCCGGGUUCGAUUCCCUGCCUCUCCA
rnacentral:tRNA from 2 species